rnacentral:rRNA from 1 species
AUUGGACGCUGGCGGCAUGCUUUACACAUGCAAGUCGGACGGCAGCACAGAGAAGCUUGCUUCUUGGGUGGCGAGUGGCGAACGGGUGAGUAAUAUAUCGGAACGUACCGAGUAAUGGGGGAUAACUAAUCGAAAGAUUAGCUAAUACCGCAUAUUCUCUGAGGAGGAAAGCAGGGGACCUUCGGGCCUUGCGUUAUUCGAGCGGCCGAUAUCUGAUUAGCUAGUUGGUGGGGUAAAGGCCUACCAAGGCGACGAUCAGUAGCGGGUCUGAGAGGAUGAUCCGCCACACUGGGACUGAGACACGGCCCAGACUCCUACGGGAGGCAGCAGUGGGGAAUUUUGGACAAUGGGCGCAAGCCUGAUCCAGCCAUGCCGCGUGUCUGAAGAAGGCCUUCGGGUUGUAAAGGACUUUUGUCAGGGAAGAAAAGGCUGUUGCUAAUACCGACAGCUGAUGACGGUACCUGAAGAAUAAGCACCGGCUAACUACGUG